AACGAACGCUGGCGGCAUGCCUAACACAUGCAAGUCGAACGAGACCUUCGGGUCUAGUGGCGCACGGGUGCGUAACGCGUGGGAACCUGCCCUUAGGUUCGGAAUAACUCCCCGAAAGGGGUGCUAAUACCGGAUAAUGUCUUCGGACCAAAGAUUUUUCGCCUUUGGAUGGGCCCGCGUUGGAUUAGCUAGUUGGUAGGGUAAAAGCCUACCAAGGCGACGAUCCAUAGCUGGUCGGAGAGGAGGAUCAGCCACACUGGGACUGAGACACGGCCCAGACUCGUACGGGAGGCAGCAGUGGGGAAUAUUGGACGAGGGGCGAAAGCCUGAUACAGCAAUGCCGGGUGAGUGAUGAAGGCCUUAGGGUUGUAAAGCUCUUUUAGCCGGGAUGAUAAUGACAGUACCGGGAGAAUAAGCGCCGGCUAACUCCGUG
rnacentral:rRNA from 1 species